UGGUGGAGUGAUCUGUCUGGUUAAUUCCGUUAACGAACGAGAUCUUACCCUACUAAAUAGACAAUUGUACGAUUUUCUUCUUAGAGGGACUCUUGAUCGUUUAGAUCAAGGAAGUUUGAGGUAAUAACA
rnacentral:rRNA from 1 species